rnacentral:lncRNA from 1 species
AAUCCAAACUUUUAAUCAAAAUUUUUAUUACUUACAAUCUAUUCAGUACAACAUACUAUUAUUAUUAAGCCAUAAUUAUACACUUAAUAAUUUUGAUGCUAUUCAUUUUGAGUAUAUUCAAAUAAUAAAAAACAAAUUUACUUUAUUUUUUUUUAGAAAAAAUGAAAUUAAUUUAAACAAAAAUAUACAAACGAAUGUUAUAUGUACAUACAAAAAUAUAUUACAAAAACACUUGUCAUAUUUUACAUGUGCAAAUUCAAUCACUUUUAAAAAUCAAAAAAGAAAACAAUUCUUAAAUUUAUAUACACACAAACAUGUAGAAAAAUAUUUAGUUGCUUAUAUACAAUCGGUGAUUAAAAAAUAUAAAAAAUUGAAAUUGUUUAAAACCAUAAAUAAGUGUUUAAUUCGCAUUCAAGCGGAAGAAGCCAUUUUAAAAAAUAUUGAUAUCAUGGUCAUGAAAUACCUAAAAAAUCUAUCAACUGAUUUUCAAAUCCUAAGCUACGCUCUACGUUUAACUAGGGAUAAGUUAUUGCCCCACUGGUUUAAAAAUGAAAAGUUAAAAGGUAUGGUGACAUAAAUGAAUGUAUACGUAUAUAUGUAUGCAUAUGUAUGCAUAUGUAUGCAUAUGUAUGUAUAUGUAUGUAUAUGUAUGCAUAUGUAUGUAUAUGUAUGUAUAUUUGUACUCCUGCAUGCAAAAUGCUAAAAAAACUUUGACAUUAGUUAUAAUUGUUCAAUACUUAUGUUUUAACAGAUGUGUUUGGUCUGGAUAUACAGCCUCUUGUGGAAUGCCCCAUAUCAACAUUGAACUAUAACAUAACAUAUAAACAUGUUGUAAUGAAAUAUUUUCAUAAAUUUUAUCAAAUACAAAAUAUAAUUUUAAAUUCAAAACACUUCAUUUAAGCAUUUUGUUUUAACCUUACAUCACCGUUUUAUUAACAUAAAAAAUAAAAAUGUAGAAAAUAAAAAUGUAGAAAAUAAA